UCCGACGUUUUUUUUUAUUUUUUUUAUGUCAAUAAUGCUUCCACACUUCUAAAUUUUUACAGUCUUUGCAUCUUUUUCACUGAGUAAUGAGACCUUGGGUGGAAGUAAGAUCCACUGGCCGGUCACUAUAAUCCUAUCAUUUUAUAGAUAAUAGAUUGCAAAUUUGAUGUUCUGUUUCCAUUGUUCCUUUAUUUUGCAGAUGUAGAAGUCCCAGUUGCUUGUAUCAUAUUGGUAUUCUUGUUUGCGCUCCAAUAUUAUGGGACCCAUCAAUUAGGAUUCCUUUUUGCUUCGAUUGUGAUAGCAUGGCUUGUAUGCAUAAGCCCUACUGGAAUCCCCAUGUUUACAAAGCACUCUCUCCUUACUACAUGUACAAGUUUUUGAAGAAGACCCAAAGGGGAGGUUGGAUGUCCUUGGGUGGCAUUUUGUUUUGUAUAACAGGUUCAGAAGCGAUGUUUGCUAAUCUUGGACACUUUUCACAGUUGUCUAUCAAGGUAAAUAAACUUGGUUAUGUUUCCUGUCAAGUACUGCAGUUGAUAUGCCUCUUUUGUGGGAUGAAAUUGUGGAUCAAACAUAAAGUAGGCGCCCAUAGAGUUUCAGUCAAAGUGAUUUUUGUGUUUUCUAAAUACAGUCGUUGAACUUUUCGGAUAAAAGUAUGCUUAUUUUUUCCAGAUACGGCAUGUAGUUUCUGUUUUCAGUCAAUGCAAUCACUGAGACUAGAAUUGAGAAUCUUGUGUGCUCAUAAAAUUUACCGAUCAAAAGUGUUUGCAGUAGUUUCUUUAUUGUUGUCGUCCAUGUUUGAAGGUCAGCCACUUAUUUGGGUGUAAAAUUUAUCCCCUGCGCUGAAUCCAACAGUUCACAAGGGAUCUCACAUCCAUUGGGUUACCAAUCCCUCAAGGAUUUAGAAUAUCUAAUAGACUAAUACUGAGGGUGGUGUAGGAAUUUUCUUCGACCACUACUUUGUAAUCAUGCUUUACACGUAGUCCCUUAAUCAAAUAGUCUCCCAUCUGGCAAACCGCUCCUGCCCAGGAAUAGAAUAUGGCAAGGUUUUGUGGGUUGUGUUGUCAAGCAGGCAACCGACAAUCAAGAGUUAAAGUUGCAUGCAAAUGAGGAUGAUGUGGGGCCUGCCAGAAUGUACUCCCAAUCUCAACACCUAAUCUGGUAAUUAAACAGUGCUAGAAGUUCAAGCACUUCAAGGACAAACGCAUCAAAUCUGAAACAAAUAGUGCUAAUUCAGGAGAGAGUUGUUAAUACACUGAAGACUACAUUAUUUCUCCUGCUGUCCUUAACAUUUCGUUGAUAUAAUCAUUUGCUAAAGAAGCAUUUCUUGCUAACUGCAUCAGUGAAAUCAACUCCUCACGGAGAGCUUACUUAAUUGAAGGUUGCUUUCACGGUUUCACCUUUGUAGUUUACCCAGCCUUGAUCCUUGCGUAUAUGGCGCAAGCAGCUUAUCUUUCCAAGCACCAUAUUAUUGAAAGUGAUUACCACAUUGGAUUCUAUGUAUCAGUACCUGGUAGGUACUAUGUUUUUGCUCUUUCUACUAGCCGUUUCUAGAUUUUUCUCAUGAUAAUUUGUGUUGGUAUUUGUAGGCGAUAACUAAUCCAAGAGCCUUUAAGUUGAGUUUUAGCUGAUUUUCAUUACCUACUUGCUUUGUCCAAGCUAAUACAAUGGCCUGUUCUAGCAUUAGCCAUACUCGCAGCAGUUGUGGAAGCCAAUCCAUCAUCACCGGGACUUUCUCCAUUAUCCGACAGUGUUCUGCUUUGGGUUGCUUCCCAAGGGUCAAAAUAGUACACACCUCGCCCAGUAUCCAUGGCCGAUCUACAUUUCGGAGAUCAACUGGACUUCAAUGGUGUUAUGUUUGGCUGUUACUAUUGGUUUCAGAAACAUGAAACACAUAAGCAAUGCAGCAGGUACUUUCUCUGAAAUGGUUUCCUUUUUUUUGCAAAUAAGAAGGCAUUGCUCAAUUGUUCUUCCCUUCCCUCUCUUGUGUUCUCUUUUUCAAAUUCUUUAGUUUGGAAGGAAUCUGUAUUUCUUGACUGAGGGACUACAACGUACUAGUUCUAUCGUGCAUGGUAAGUCCCUAUAAAGGACUAAAUUUUAUGCUACUUAUUGAUGAAAUGAAACUCUUCAGUCCCCUAUAUUUUAAUGACAAGCACCUCGAAAUGGUGGAAUCAAAUGAUCAGAAUAGCUUUUCUUCUAUUUGUAUUAUGACUUACCCGUAUAUAUAAUUAUGAUUGUUGUAAGUGGUGAUUGGUGCUUCAGUUUUCAAAGUCCCACCCUAUGAACCUCCUCUAGGUUGUAGGAUCGAGUCUAAGGACAACCACUUUGUGCAUUUAGUGCCAAGGUUAGGUAUGUACCCAGUCUAACCAUCGUAGACACCCAUUUAUUUGGUUAGUAACUGGUCUUAUUUUUUACCAAUGAUUUUGGUAAACUUAUUACAGGUGCUUCUUUCAUGGAGCAGGUUUGGCGGUUAUAACUGUUAUGCUGGUAAUUACCCGCCUAAUGUCUCUGGUUAUUGUCUUUUGCUGGCGCAGAAAUGUAUUCAUAGCCCUUUGCUUUAUAUUCUUCUUCGGUUCCAUAAAAGCGCGCUACUUCUCAGCUUCACUCAUCAAGUUCCUUGACGGUGCAUGGGUGCCUAUCGAUCUCUAGCUCACAGACAUAUUCGUAGGUUGGUAUCCUAUGUCGUUUUGCAUCUCUGGUUACUAUAUGAUGUAGUAAUUAAAGGACAAUUAAAGGACAUUUUGUGACUCUCUAACCCUUUUCUAUUGGGGGUUGAUUAGGAUCCCUUGUAGGCUUCUACACCUGAUAAAAGCUACAAAAAAUUAGGAUGUAAGGGCAUUAACAAAUUUUACACGUGAUUCUGAAAAUUUUGUUUACAAAAUCCUCACUGUUUUCCUUCAAAUAUAGCUAAUCACAAAGAUCUUUAUGGUUAGCUCUUUCUAAAGCUUCAACAAAGAUUUGCCCAAGACAGUCAUGAUAGGGCGUAACCUGUACAGUCUUCUUUCAGAACUUCAACAAAAAAAGAAAAAAAAAACACACCUGAAAUUGGGGAAAAGAGGUUGAAACCGUCGAUAUAUCAGUCCUUUCAAUUGAAAUGAUUCAAUGAUUAGCUCUUUUGGAGAUCUGUUUUGCAGUACUUCAUCAUAGUGAUUGGAUAUGGCUCUGGUCUUUCCUUGUUUCAGUAGCUUAUUGUUUGCAUAUGAGGCCUGAAUCUUGGAAAGGAACUUGUUUUCCUUAAUGUUGACGCCAAUAUUAAGUAGGGUGGUGUUAGCUUCGCACAGUUGCGUUGGUUUGCUGCUUGAGUUUGGGCUCAACUGAUGUUUUUUUAGUUAUUUGGUUUUAAGUUGGAGCUUCCCACGUCAGAUAGCUUGCCUUUCUUAGUGUCCGGCAUAUAAAUCUUUAGUCACUAAAAAAAAGAACAAAAUUAAGAGUGUCGAUAAAUUAUUGUUCCACUGCUUUUUUUGUUCUUUACUCUUGAAGCACAGGUAAGUGGAAAGGGAUUUAAGUAGAAAUUGCAAAUAUAACAUGCUUGGGGGUUGAUUUGGAAUUUGGGAUUAGAUUAUGGGAUUAGACAACUUCUGUACUUCCUUGUGGAAAUAGAAAAGUAGAAACUUUUGAACUGAGUGUGCUGCUGGCCACUGAUAAAUGCGAGUGUAAAACUUUUAGGCUUCGUGGAAUAAUAGCUAAAUGGUAGUGACAAAAAAUUUUCAAUAUGACUUUUAUAAUGUUUCCUGAUGCUUCAAAGUUACUAUAUUUGAUUAAGAAUCAUGAGUCACUUCGAACAACUCAUUUUGAUUUUAUUGUCAUGGUUCAGUUUGGAGUGUUUUUACCGAUUUCAAACAUUUUCGUCAGGUUGGCAAAAGUCUUAGUGUGCGAAAAUAGCAUGCUGCUUUUUCUUCAGAUGACUAUCCUUAUAUAAGCAGGACGCUUAGUCUGCGGGAUUCGUGUUCAUCUCCUUUGUUUCAACUACCAUAACAAUAUUACCUAAGCAUGUGAAAAGCAGUAUGCUUGACAUGAUAACAUGCUUCUUGGAAUUAAUUAACAAAUAUUAACUCUAAGUGCAAAACUAUUACUCCAAACAACUUACCAUUCCCGCUUGGAAGUAUAACUGAGAGAUGAAUAUCAUAAUUCCUAUCAAUCCAGUCAUCAACUGAGAGAUGAAUAUCUCCCUGUGGAUAAUCACACACCCAAGUGAGUGAAUCUUCUGAUGGGUUGGGCAAUCCAUUAAACAGAUACUCCGAGCAUUAUCAAGCUCGAAUUGGCUGUCUUUUAAACCACUCUGGUAAACCUGAUUGGGGUUCAACCAAUAUCUGAGUUCUAAUUCACGAAGGUCAGGAUUUGCAUGCCUAUCGCCGCAUGCAUUUCCUUUGUAGUCGAGUCCGUAUGUAAGCCUAAUGAUUCACGUGACAACUUAUC